GACGUAGGGCGCGAGCGUUGUCCGGAAUUAUUGGGCGUAAAGAGCUCGUAGGCGGCUUGUUGCGUCGACUGUGAAAACCCGUGGCUCAACCAUGUGGUCUGCAGUCGAUACGGGCAGGCUUGAGUUCGGUAGGGGAGACUGGAAUUCCUGGUGUAGCGGUGAAAUGCGCAGAUAUCAGGAGGAACACCUAUUGCGAAGGCAGCUCGCUGGGACGUUACUGACGCUGAGACGCGAAAGCGUGGGGAGCAAACAGG
rnacentral:rRNA from 1 species